rnacentral:rRNA from 1 species
GGACCCGCACAAGCGGUGGAGUAUGUGGUUUAAUUCGAUGCAACGCGAAAAACCUUACCAGGGUUUGAAAUAAUUUCAAAACUUCUUGAAAGAGAAGCCUCCUUCGGGAUGGAAUUACAGGUGGUGCAUGGCUGUCGUCAGCUCGUGUUGUGAAAUGUCAAGUUAAGUCUUGUAACGAGCGCAACCCAUGUCUCUUGUUGCUGUUUACAGUGCUUAAGAGAAACUGCCGAUCAACAUCGGAGGAAGGUGUGGAUGAUGUCAAGUCAGCAUGCCCCUUACAUCCUGGCUACACACGUACUACAAUGGUCGAGACAAAGGGUCGCUAACCUGCGAAGGUAUGCCAA